GCUCCCAUAGCUCAGUUGGUAGAGCGCAUCCAUGGUAAGGAUGAGGUCACCAGUUCGAGCCUGGUUGGGAGCU
rnacentral:tRNA from 1 species